CGAUCAGUAGCCGACCUGAGAGGGUGAUCGGCCACAUUGGAACUGAGACACGGUCCAAACUCCUACGGGAGGCAGCAGUGGGGAAUAUUGCACAAUGGGCGAAAGCCUGAUGCAGCAACGCCGCGUGAGUGAUGAAGGCCUUCGGGUCGUAAAACUCUGUCCUCAAGGAAGAUAAUGACGGUACUUGAGGAGGAAGCCCCGGCUAACUACGUGCCAGCAGCCGCGGUAAUACGUAGGGGGCUAGCGUUAUCCGGAUUUACUGGGCGUAAAGGGUGCGUAGGCGGUCUUUCAAGUCAGGAGUGAAAGGCUACGGCUCAACCGUAGUAAGCUCUUGAAACUGGGAGACUUGAGUGCAGGAGAGGAGAGUGGAAUUCCUAGUGUAGCGGUGAAAUGCGUAGAUAUUAGGAGGAACACCAGUUGCGAAGGCGGCUCUCUGGACUGUAACUGACGCUGAGGCACGAAAGCGUGGGGAGCAAACAGGAUUAGAUAC
rnacentral:rRNA from 1 species